AUGAGGAAUUCAUGCCUUGCACAGGGGAGGAGCCUGCCCUCUUGAGCUCUUGUGGUGACCUGGGAAUCAAUGUGUGAGGUGGUGCUUUUUAGCAGGAACCCCUCUCGCUUUGCAAAUAGUUUUUUGUUUGUUUUCCUUUUUGCCCAAUAGAGCCCUGCUCUACUGACCCUUCAAUGUGCCCGUGUGCCUAAAUAUUCCUGGUCGUGUGAAAAGAACCCAGGUAUUAGCUGAACUAAGGAGCACAAUUCUGCAACAUUUUGGCACCCAAACACGGGGCUUGAGAAAUGAAUGCAAUUGGAGAAACUGGUUGUUUUACCAGGCGUUGAUUGGAAAUGUGUGCUUCCCUUUAAGCAGUCAAGCUCAACUUGCAGAGCUGAUGGAAACCCCUUGGGAAAACUGGCCUCAAACGUUUGUCUACACAGUCCACAUACAGGGUUCUUAACCUGCGGAAACACUUUCUGAAAAUGUCAGAACUCUUGAAAACAUGGAUGAGGAAAAGCAUAAGUACUGCUUUAUGCUUGUCUUAUGAAUUUUAAAAGAUGUAAUUUAAAGGUACUUUAAAGUGAUAUUUGUGCCCUUGUAACUGAUUCAAAGUAGACUGCUAAGGACAAUAAGUAAUAAGAGUCUACAAAUAUCAAUAAAUUAUGAGAAAAAAACGGUCUAA